rnacentral:sRNA from 1 species
ACCAGAAGCUCCGGCGACACUGAGAUUAUAAGGGAGCCAGGGCUUUGCGGAUGGUUUGCUCCAGAUGGAAUUAAUGCUGCAGUUGUUAUAAGAGCAUCUCUGGCUCCACUUCUGAAGCUAAUCACCACCUCUGUUUUUAUGGAGAAAACAAAGGAUUCAGAUUGAAGGACUGCUCAGACACCCUCCGAAGAGGGAUUCAGAUUGAAGGACUGCUCAGACACCCUCCGAAGAGGUGGCCCUGCCUGUGCUCCUCCUGGCUGCAGAGUACCCCACCAGCGCAUUUUGAUUUGCAAUCUAGGAAGAGGAUUCUGGAAGAAUGGGAAGAAGGAUAACUCUGCAUCUAUUAACUUAAUUUUAGUUUUAUGUUAUUGGCGUUUUUCCUCUCAUCCUUAUCUCCUGCAGCCCUUCCUUCCUGUAAAAGGAUCAUUUCUAAACAUACAAGUAAAGACAUGCUUAGAAUUUCAGCACAU